AGUUGGAAACGACUGCUAAUACCGGAUGAUGACGUAAGUCCAAAGAUUUAUCGCCCAGGGAUGAGCCCGCGUAGGAUUAGCUAGUUGGUGGGGUAAAGGCCUACCAAGGCGACGAUCCUUAGCUGGUCUGAGAGGAUGAUCAGCCACACUGGGACUGAGACACGGCCCAGACUCCUACGGGAGGCAGCAGUGGGGAAUAUUGGACAAUGGGGGCAACCCUGAUCCAGCAAUGCCGCGUGAGUGAUGAAGGCCUUAGGGUUGUAAAGCUCUUUUACCCGGGAUGAUAAUGACAGUACCGGGAGAAUAAGCCCCGGCUAACUCCGUGCCAGCAGCCGCGGUA
rnacentral:rRNA from 1 species